rnacentral:rRNA from 1 species
CGGGGUGAGUAAUGCUUGGGAAUCUAGCUUAUGGAGGGGGAUAACUACGGGAAACUGUAGCUAAUACCGCGUAGAGUCGGGAGAUGAAAGUGUGGGACCUUCGGGCCACAUGCCAUAGGAUGAGCCCAAGUGGGAUUAGGUAGUUGGUGAGGUAAAGGCUCACCAAGCCGACGAUCUCUAGCUGGCCUGAGAGGAUGACCAGCCACACUGGGACUGAGACACGGCCCAG